GAUGAAGAACGUAGCAAAAUGCGAUAAGUAAUGUGAAUUGCAGAAUUCAGUGAAUCAUCGAAUCUUUGAACGCACAUUGCGCCCGCCAGUAUUCUGGCGGGCAUGCCUGUCUGAGCGUCAUUUCAACCCUCAGCCCCCGCUCGCGGGGCGCUGGCGUUGGGGAUCGGCCGUCCUCGCGGCGGCCGGCCCCGAAACACAGUGGCGGUCUCUCGCGGACUCCCCUGCGUAGUAGCACUACCUCGCAGAAGGGACGAGCGGGCUGACCACGCCGUAAAACCCCCCACUUCUCCAGGUUGACCUCAGAUCAGGUAGGAAUACCCGCUGAACUUAAGCAUAUCAAUAAGCGGAGGA
rnacentral:misc_RNA from 1 species